AGGAUGAACGCUGGCGGCGUGCCUAAUACAUGCAAGUCGAGCGGUAAGGUCCCUUCGGGGAUACACGAGCGGCGGACGGCUGAGUAACACGUAGGAACGUACCCCAAAGUGAGGGAUAAGCACCAGAAAUGGUGUCUAAUACCGCAUGUGGCCUUCGGGCUAAAGCUCCGGCGCUUUGGGAACGGCCUGCGCAUGAUUAGUUAGUUGGUGAGGUAAUGGCUCACCAAGACGAUGAUCAUUAGCUGGUCUGAGAGGAUGACCAGCCAGACUGGAACUGAGAACGGUCCAGACUCCUACGGGAGGCAGCAGUAGGGAAUUUUCCACAAUGGGCGAAAGCCUGAUGGAGCAACGCCGCGUGCAGGAUGAAGGCUCUAGGGUCGUAAACUGCUUUUAUAUGUGACGAUUAUGACGGUAGCAUAUGAAUAAGGAUCGGCUAACUCCGUGCCAGCAGCCGC
rnacentral:rRNA from 1 species